rnacentral:rRNA from 1 species
AUGCAGCAGGGGAGGACGAGGAGCCGCCCGCGCAUCGCCGGCGCCCGGCCGGGGCCCUCCUCCUCGCCGUCGCGGCGUGGCGGGAGCAGCGGCGGCGAGGGCGCCGGACGGGGGCUCCGGCUGCACCGGCUGCCGGUGCAGCUGGCGCAGGGGCCGCGGCCGCGGAGGCGGGCCGACGGGAAGAGGGCGCUCUGGUGGCGCGACGACGCCCGCGUCCACCCCGUGACCCAUCCGCCUUCCCCGCCGCCGCCGCCGCCGCUCGACCGCCCGCACACCUGCUACGACGUCCUCGCGCCGGACUCCCCCUUCGCCUCCUCCUCCCUGCUGCUGCUGCCGCCCGAUCGUCGCACGCCAUGGGAGGAGGCCAAGGUGGUGGUGAACGUGACGGUGGAGGGGAGCCCGGGGCCGGUGAGGGCGAUGGUGAGCCUCGGCUCCAGCAUCCGGGACGCCAUCGCCGCGGUGCUGGAGCGGUACCACCGGGAGGGGAGGAGCCCCCGGCUGGACCCGGCCUCCGCCGACUCCUUCCAGCUACAUCACUCUCACUUCUCCCUCCAGAGUUUAAACAAGAACGACAAGAUGAGCGAAGUGGGCGGCAGAAAUUUCUACCUGCACAAAAACGACGGAAGCAACGGGCUUGUACCUCACAGGGAACAGGAGGCGGGUGUGCAUUCAGGUGGUGGUGAAACUACAGAGAGCCGUGGAGGGCAGCUUGCCGGUGUCCCAUACCACCACCAGCUCCUCGCCAUUGUCAUGAAGAAGCUGGAUAAAAUCGGCAGGCGGACCAAGAGGAUUUGGAGGCUCCUGACCUGUGACUGCACAUGA